rnacentral:rRNA from 1 species
UGGGGAAUAUUGGACAAUGGGGGCAACCCUGAUCCAGCCACGCCGCGUGAGUGAUGAAGGCCUUCGGGUCGUAAAGCUCUGUGGGGAGGGACGAACGUCCCGUUGAAGAAACGGGGGUGACGGUACCUCCUUAGCAAGCACCGGCUAACUUCGUGCCAGCAGCCGCGGUAAUACGAAGGGUGCAAACGUUGCUCGGAAUCAUUGGGCGUAAAGCGCACGUAGGCGGCGCUGUAAGUCGGACGUGAAAUCCCUCGGCUCAACCGAGGACGUGCAUCCGAAACUACAGUGCUCGAGUAUGGAAGAGGGUCGCGGAAUUCUCGGUGUAGAGGUGAAAUUCGUAGAUAUCGGGAGGAACACCAGUGGCGAAGGCGGCGACCUGGGCCAAUACUGACGCUGAGGUGCGAAAGCGUGGGGAGCAAACAGG